UUGAAUAACAUAUGUUUUGAGACCAGAUAUAUUUAUAUUGAAACAAUUUAAAAUGCCUAUAAAUGUGUAUUUGGCCUUUCACUAAUCAAGAGAAUGAACUUACACAUGGCUACCAAGAUAUUCCUAUCUCACAAGCUUUCCCUUUUUGGUUUUGUUGUGACACUCGCUGUUAUGUCCUCGAACAAUAAAGUGGUGGCUUUUCGAGAGCUACCUUUAGAAGUACAAGUGAUUAAGCAGAUUGUACUAUCAGAAUUAAGCUAAACUCAUCGUUGUUUUGAACACUGUGAAAUUCAUUUUGACUGUAAAAAAUUGCUAGAUUGUGGAUAUUGUCGAUGACAAAUUUUUAAAGUGCCAUUUAAGAGAUUUUUGACUCCA